UACGGAGGGGGCUAGCGUUGUUCGGAAUUACUGGGCGUAAAGGGUGCGUAGGCGGAUUGUUAAGUCAGGGGUGAAAUCCCGAGGCUCAACCUCGGAACUGCCUUUGAUACUGGCGAUCUUGAGUCCGGGAGAGGUGAGUGGAACUGCGAGUGUAGAGGUGAAAUUCGUAGAUAUUCGCAAGAACACCGGUGGCGAAGGCGGCUCACUGGCCCGGAACUGACGCUGAGGCGCGAAAGCGUGGGGAGCAAACAGG
rnacentral:rRNA from 1 species